GGGGUUGUAGCUCAGUUUUGGUAGAGCACCACAAUGGCAUUGUGGGGGUCAGGGGUUCGAAUCCCCUCAGCUCCA
rnacentral:tRNA from 1 species